UACUUGGAGGUUGUGGCCUUGAGCCGUGGCUUUCGGAGCUAACGCGUUAAGUAGACCGCCUGGGGAGUACGGUCGCAAGAUUAAAACUCAAAUGAAUUGACGGGGGCCCGCACAAGCGGUGGAGCAUGUGGUUUAAUUCGAUGCAACGCGAAGAACCUUACCUACUCUUGACAUCCAGAGAAUCCAGCGGAGACGCAGGAGUGCCUUCGGGAGCUCUGAGACAGGUGCUGCAUGGCUGUCGUCAGCUCGUGUUGUGAAAUGUUGGGUUAAGUCCCGCAACGAGCGCAACCCUUAUCCUUGUUUGCCAGCGAGUAAUGUCGGGAACUCCAGGGAGACUGCCGGUGAUAAACCGGAGGAAGGUGGGGACGACGUCAAGUCAUCAUGGCCCUUACGAGUAGGGCUACACACGUGCUACAAUGGCGCAUACAGAGGGCAGCGAGCCAGCGAUGGUAAGCGAAUCCCAAAAAGUGCGUCGUAGUCCGGAUUGGAGUCUGCAACUCGACUCCAUGAAGUCGGAAUCGCUAGUAAUCGUGAAUCAGAAUGUCACGGUGAAUACGUUCCCGGGCCUUGUACACACCGCCCGUCACACCAUGGGAGUGGGCUGCAAAAGAAGUAGGUAGUCUACCUUCGGAGACGCUACCCCUUGUAGC
rnacentral:rRNA from 1 species